CUUUGCCAGAAGUUCCUCCUCCUCCUCCUCCUCCUCCUAUUCCUCUUGAUAGUAACUGAAGGUGCCGCCAUUGUUGAAGUUUGAGGAGGUUCUGCUGCUGCAAACAGGGUGAUGUGAGAUCACAAAGAAGGCUAAGUGGAUAUCUUGUUUUCCGGCAAAUAUAUGUAAUGUUAUGAAGCCAAAGCUCUUUCAAGUCAGUGUCCUUCGAGUGCAAAAAAGGGUAAAAUAGAAGAAAAACUUGAUGUUUUCUGCUAGACUACUUCCUGUUGCACCAAAAGGUAUGUAGAGGUUGAUUCUCUACAAUAGUCCAACACCCAUGAGCAAGAUUUCCA